UGUUGUUUUUGAUUGUUGUUCAGACUGCUUUUGUUAGUUUCUUAAAAAAUAAAGCUGAGAAGGAGAGAUACUCAAUGCCUGCUGCUGCAUAGGUCCUGAUGUGCUAGCUGAGAAAUCCCAGGAAAUGAUCAGUUGCCAGAUGUUGCAGUAACACAGCUUCAAAAUUGAAACCUCUGCUGUUGUCAUCAGGAUAAUCCACAACAAGUGUCAAACUUUGACUGCAGGAAGCUGGCACUGCAGGGCUUGUGGAUACCUUUGUUAACCUGUAUUGUUCCCAGGGCAUCCGAAGCAACUGUAGCUGCCUCUGAAGUGCUCCUGUUGUAGCUGUUUGGGCACCAGGACCAGCAAAAUACCACUGAAUUCCAGGAAUCAGCUAUUGAUAGAGCUGUGAGUUUUGAACCUUGUCUCGCACUCUUAUGUCAGAUCUUCCACAGUGCAGGCAUUCGCUUUGAUGACAGCUGCUGCACUUCAAUGAAUUCCACUUAUGCUGAACUAAGACACUGCCCCACAGUACCUCCUAAAUUGAGACUCUCAAUGAAGAAAGGAGGGGGGAAAGGAUCCAGAAGGUAAGGGAUUACCUUCUGUUUUGAGGAACUAUUUCCUGAUGAGCCUUCCUGAGUGCUCACUUUGGGUAUCUGAGAAAAUGUGUCUCAACCUUUGUUUCUGCUAAUUCUAAAUGCAUGUGAGAGGAGCAGGAUGCCUAAUGGAG